rfam:Phytophthora infestans T30-4 supercont1.1 genomic scaffold, whole genome shotgun sequence.
GCUCUUAUGGUGUAAUGGUUAGCACUCUGGACUUUGAAUCCAGCGAUCCGGGUUCAAAUCCCGGUAGGAGCU